UCUAACUUGUGUGUGUAUGAAUUCACCGUUUAGAAGAGACAACUCUUAAAUAUGUUGGAUCUUUAAAGAAGUUUGUCCCUAAAAUUAUACAAAUAUAAGAUACAUGGAUGAAAAAUAAGGUAAAAUAAAAGCUCUUCUAUAUGCAUCCAUUUAGUACUAAAACAAAUCAAAUCACAUAUGGCACAUGAAACAAAAUGUUUAUAACCAAAACACUUACAAAAAUCACGUAGAUUAUGGCUCUAAUUGGUAGAAAUUAAGUUUUCACCAAUAGGUCAGUGUAUGGCAUUGCCUUUGCCUUACGCAACAGUUUUCUUUUGAAACAACAAGGCUUUGUGAAAAUUAUACUUGUAGCUACCUCUUAGAGAACGAUUUUUUAAAUUUACAAUGACAACAGUUUUACGUUGUUGCGAAGUUAAAACCGUUUUUCUAUUUAUUUUAAUUAAGGUACGACAACGCUAUAUAACUAUUUUGUUGUAAUAUACUAUAAUAAAUUUAAUAUUACCUAGAACAAUCCACUAAAAAUACAAAACGCAAAGAACACAACAUUAUUAAUCUGCAUUCAUAUCCUGGACCUACAAAUAAGAUUAAAGCAAAGGAUAUCAAACAAAGUUAGAACAUUAUUAAUCUAAAAUCAUAAUUUUCAAGAUAAUUUUCACAUAAAGGCAAGAUUUAAUCCAUUAGUUAGCCGAAAUUCCACAAGGCAAAUAUAAACACACAUGCAUAAACAAUUGUAUAGUUGAGAUGUUUUCAAUAUUGCAGCAUAGAGAUGCACAAAACUUCAAUUACCAAGCAAAAAUAAACCAACAAAUUCAAUGAUGAAAACCAAUUAAAAGCACCCCAAUUGUAUAGUCGAGAUCCAUUAGCUUAAAAAUGGUUUUUUCCUUCCUUAUGCACUCUUUUUAACUUUUGAAUACUUUUUCUCCUAAAUGUUUCAAUCAAUCUUCG
rnacentral:lncRNA from 1 species